ACUGGAGGACCGAACCGACUACCGUUGAAAAGUUAGCGGAUGACCUGUGGAUCGGAGUGAAAGGCUAAUCAAGCUCGGAGAUAGCUGGUUCUCCUCGAAAGCUAUUUAGGUAGCGCCUCAUGUAUCACUGUAGGGGGUAGAGCACUGUUUCGGCUAGGGGGUCAUCCCGACUUACCAAACCGAUGCAAACUCCGAAUACCUACAAGUGCCGAGCAUGGGAGACACACGGCGGGUGCUAACGUCCGUCGUGAAAAGGGAAACAACCCAGACCGUCAGCUAAGGUCCCAAAGUUAUGGUUAAGUGGGAAACGAUGUGGGAAGGCUUAGACAGCUAGGAGGUUGGCUUAGAAGCAGCCACCCUUUAAAGAAAGCGUAAUAGCUCACUAGUCGAGUCGGCCUGCGCGGAAGAUGUAACGGGGCUCAAACCAUACACCGAAGCUACGGGUAUCACUUAGGUGAUGCGGUAGAGGAGCGUUCUGUAAGCCUGUGAAGGUGAGUUGAGAAGCUUGCUGGAGGUAUCAGAAGUGCGAAUGCUGACAUGAGUAACGACAAUGGGAGUGAAAAACUCCCACGCCGAAAGACCAAGGUUUCCUGCGCAACGUUAAUCGACGCAGGGUUAGUCGGUCCCUAAGGCGAGGCUGAAAAGCGUAGUCGAUGGAAAACAGGUUAAUAUUCCUGUACUUCU
rnacentral:rRNA from 1 species